rnacentral:rRNA from 1 species
UAAUACCGGAUAACACUGCGGAUCGCAUGGUCUGCGGUUGAAAGCUCCGGCGGUGAAGGAUGAGCCCGCGGCCUAUCAGCUAGUUGGUGGGGUAAUGGCCUACCAAGGCGACGACGGGUAGCCGGCCUGAGAGGGCGACCGGCCACACUGGGACUGAGACACGGCCCAGACUCCUACGGGAGGCAGCAGUGGGGAAUAUUGCACAAUGGGCGAAAGCCUGAUGCAGCGACGCCGCGUGAGGGAUGACGGCCUUCGGGUUGUAAACCUCUUUCAGCAGGGAAGAAGCGAAAGUGACGGUACCUGCAGAAGAAGCGCCGGCUAACUACGUGCCAGCAGCCGCGGUAAUACGUAGGGCGCAAGCGUUGUCCGGAAUUAUUGGGCGUAAAGAGCUCGUAGGCGGCUUGUCACGUCGGAUGUGAAAGCCCGGGGCUUAACCCCGGGUCUGCAUUCGAUACGGGCAGGCUAGAGUGUGGUAGGGGAGAUCGGAAUUCCUGGUGUAGCGGUGAAAUGCGCAGAUAUCAGGAGGAACACCGGUGGCGAAGGCGGAUCUCUGGGCCAUUACUGACGCUGAGGAGCGAAAGCGUGGGGAGCGAACAGGAUUAGAUACCCUGGUAGUCCA